GGGGGCGAACUGGGCUCGACGGGAGUAAGUGAGGUCGAGGUCGCAUGCCGAGCACCCAUCUGCUCGUAAAACGGUGGGAAAAUACAACUGCCAACACGGUAGAAUACGCCCUGGCCGCCUAGAGCGGCCAGCGUCCUUCCCCUUCUUGCCUACGGGAGAGAGUAAGGGCGUCGACUGAGUGGGCUGGCGCCUGAUCUAUCGCCCGAAAGGAUCGGGAGCGAGAAUCAUCCGGGCUAGCCUCGAUAGACCCUGCCUGCGGGGGCUGGAGAGGCGAAAUUCAAAGCGCGGGCUAAGCAUGUAGGGGCCUCAGGCUGAAGGCUUUCGGACGCGGGUUCGAUUCCCGCCGCCUCCACCA
rnacentral:tmRNA from 1 species